UAGGGAAUCUUCCGCAAUGGGCGAAAGCCUGACGGAGCAACGCCGCGUGAGUGAUGAAGGUCUUCGGAUCGUAAAACUCUGUUAUUAGGGAAGAACAAAUGUGUAAGUAACUAUGCACGUCUUGACGGUACCUAAUCAGAAAGCCACGGCUAACUACGUGCCAGCAGCCGCGGUAAUACGUAGGUGGCAAGCGUUAUCCGGAAUUAUUGGGCGUAAAGCGCGCGUAGGCGGUUUUUUAAGUCUGAUGUGAAAGCCCACGGCUCAACCGUGGAGGGUCAUUGGAAACUGGAAAACUUGAGUGCAGAAGAGGAAAGUGGAAUUCCAUGUGUAGCGGUGAAAUGCGCAGAGGUAUGUAGGAACACCAGUGGCGAAGGCGACUUUCUGGUCUGUAACUGACGCUGAUGUGCGAAAGCGUGGGGAUCAAACAGG
rnacentral:rRNA from 1 species